rnacentral:rRNA from 1 species
UACGGAGGGUGCAAGCGUUAUCCGGAUUCACUGGGUUUAAAGGGUGCGUAGGCGGGCAGGUAAGUCCGUGGUGAAAUCUCUGAGCUUAACUCAGAAACUGCCAUGGAUACUAUUUGUCUUGAAUAUUGUGGAGGUAAGCGGAAUAUGUCAUGUAGCGGUGAAAUGCUUAGAUAUGACAUAGAACACCAAUUGCGAAGGCAGCUUACUACACAGUUAUUGACGCUGAGGCACGCAAGCGUGGGGAUCAAACAGG